CGGCAAUGAAAUUUUGUUGAAAAUCCUGGAUCUCAUUAAUACUUAGAGCAGUUCAGGGAAUUUCAUGAACCAAAUGCCUGUAAAUUAUAAAAAGCUCUUGAAAAUGAGUAGAUUCCAGUCAAUUAAAAUUUGAAUGUCCUGACCCACACCCCAAACACACACCAAAAAAGAGGAAGGAGGGCA